rnacentral:rRNA from 1 species
GAACGCUGGCGGCAGGCCUAACACAUGCAAGUCGAGCGGAAGAAGGGAGCUUGCUCCCGGAUUCAGCGGCGGACGGGUGAGUAAUGCCUGGGAAUCUGCCUGGUAGUGGGGGAUAACGUCCGGAAACGGGCGCUAAUACCGCGUACGUCCUACGGGAGAAAGCAGGGGAUCUUCGGACCUUGCGCUACCAGAUGAGCCCAGGCCGGAUUAGCUUGUUGGUGAGGUAAUGGCUCACCAAGGCGACGAUCCGUAACUGGUCUGAGAGGAUGAUCAGUCACACUGGAACUGAGACACGGUCCAGACUCCUACGGGAGGCAGCAGUGGGGAAUAUUGGACAAUGGGGGCAACCCUGAUCCAGCCAUGCCGCGUGUGUGAAGAAGGUCUUCGGAUUGUAAAGCACUUUAAGUUGGGAGGAAGGGCUUGCGGUUAAUACCUGCAAGCUUUGACGUUACCGACAGAAUAAGCACCGGCUAACUCUGUGCCAGCAGCCGCGGUAAUACAGAGGGUGCAAGCGUUAAUCGGAAUUACUGGGCGUAAAGCGCGCGUAGGUGGUUCAGUAAGAUGGAAGUGAAAUCCCCGGGCUCAACCUGGGAACUGCUUUCAUAACUGCUGGGCUAGUGUACGGUAGAGGGUAGUGGAAUUUCCUGUGUAGCGGUGAAAUGCGUAGAUAUAGGAAGGAACACCAGUGGCGAAGGCGACUACCUGGACUGGUACUGACACUGAGGUGCGAAAGCGUGGGGAGCAAACAGGAUUAGAUACCCUGGUAGUCCACGCCGUAAACGAUGUCAACUAGCCGUUGGAGUCCUUGAGACUUUAGUGGCGCAGCUAACGCACUAAGUUGACCGCCUGGGGAGUACGGUCGCAAGAUUAAAACUCAAAUGAAUUGACGG